CUGGAGAGGCAGGAUUCGAACCUACGAUCAGGGGACCAAAGCCCCUUGCCUUACCGCUUGGCUACUCUCCA
rnacentral:tRNA from 1 species